rnacentral:rRNA from 1 species
CUACGGGAGGCAGCAGUGGGGAAUCUUGGACAAUGGAGGAAACUCUGAUCCAGCCAUCCCGCGUGCAGGAUGAAGGCCCUACGGGUUGUAAACUGCUUUUGUUAGGGAAGAACUCCUCUCUUUUAAGAGAGGCUGACGGUACCUUUCGAAUAAGCACCGGCUAACUCCGUGCCAGCAGCCGCGGUAAUACGGAAGGUGCAAGCGUUAUCCGGAAUUACUGGGUUUAAAGGGUGCGUAGGCGGCGCAGUAAGUCAGAGGUGAAAGGCCGUGGCUCAACCAUGGAAUUGCCUUUGAUACUGUCGCGCUUGAAUCAGGUUGAGGACAGCGGAAUGUGGCAUGUAGCGGUGAAAUGCAUAGAUAUGCCAUAGAACACCGAUUGCGAAGGCAGCUGUCUGGGCCUGGAUUGACGCUGAGGCACGAAAGCGUGGGGAGCGAACAGGAUUAGAUACCCCUGUAGUCC